rnacentral:rRNA from 1 species
AACGAACGCUGGCGGCGUGCUUAACACAUGCAAGUCGAACGCGAAAGGGGCUUCGGUCCUGAGUAGAGUGGCGCACGGGUGAGUAACGCGUAGAUAACCUGUCCUGGUGUCUGGAAUAAUAUCUCGAAAGGGGUGCUAAUACCGGAUAUUCUUGCUUUCUAUAAGGUAUGCAAGGAAAGGUGGCCUCUGGAACAAGCUACUGCACGAGGAGGGGUCUGCGUACCAUUAGCUAGUAGGUGGGGUAAUGGCCUACCUAGGCGACGAUGGUUAGCGGGUCUGAGAGGAUGAUCCGCCACACUGGUACUGAAACACGGACCAGAGUCCUACGGGAGGCAGCAGUGAGGAAUAUUGCGCAAUGGGGGCAACCCUGACGCAGCGACGCCGCGUGAGUGAGGAAGGCCUUCGGGUCGUAAAGCUCUGUCAAAGGGGAAGAAGUGCAUGGUGGUUAAUAUCUGUCAUGUUUGACGGUACCCUUAAAGGAAGCACCGGCUAACUCCGUGCCAGCAGCAGCAGUAAGAC